ACCUGGCUGGCUCAGUCGGUAGAGCACGUGACUCUUAAUCUCGGGGUCAUGAGUUCAAGUUUCACGUUGGACA
rnacentral:tRNA from 1 species